UACGUAGGGUGCAAGCGUUAAUCGGAAUUACUGGGCGUAAAGCGUGCGCAGGCGGUUUUGUAAGUCAGAUGUGAAAUCCCCGGGCUUAACCUGGGAAUUGCGUCCGAAACUAUGGAGCUGGAGUGUGGCAGAGGGAGGUGGAAUUCCACGUGUAGCGGUGAAAUGCGUAGAGAUCCGGAAGAACACCGGUGGCGAAGGCGGUCUGCUGGGCAGUAGCUGACACUGAGGCGCGACAGCGUGGGGAGCAAACAGG
rnacentral:rRNA from 1 species